AUGCAAGGGACGGCGGCGCCCGAAGUCAACGGCGGGGCAGCAGCAACUCCGGCCGGUGAGGGCAGCGGGAAGGACCGGAGAGGGCGGAUCUGGUCCCGAGAAACCCAUUCCCGGUGGCGGCAGCGGCAGUGGGAUCCCAGGGCGGCGGCGCGAGCAACUCCGACGGCGGCAACGACAGGUACCUGCGAGAAGAAAGGUCGGCGGGGUGAGAGGGAGAUGGAACCAAGGGAGAAGGGAGAGAUGGAAGGGCAGGGCGACGGGGUAGGCCUCGAGGUCAACGGCGGUGGCUCGCCGGAGGGCGCGGAGGGCGGCGGGAUCGGGCGAGCAGGAGGGGAACUCCCGAUCCAGAUCGAGCAGAGCGCUCGGGAGCGGCGGCGAACGGGGCUGCGGGCUCAUCGGGUCCGGAUUGGCCCGGGGCGGGCCGGAUGCGGGCUUCUACGGGCCUCGGCGGCGGGGAGGAGCGGGGUGAUGUGGCGAUGCCACAUGGCGGCAGGGCAGUGGCUGGAGAUGGCCAAGGGGCGACGUGGCGCGCGUGGAUUGGUCCGGGGCGCGCCGGCGGCGGCGCCAAGUGGCGGGCUGCGGCUAGCGGCGGCGGAACCAAGGUGGGAGGUGGCUGGCUGCGCGGAAAUGGCAUGGGAGGCGUCUAUAUAUAGAAAGGAGCUAGGGUUUGAGGGUUUGGGGCCGCUUUUGGACCGUACGAUCACGAUCAUGCGGCUCUGGUCAGAGGGGGAGGUUAGAGGGCUGCGGGAGGGAUUAGUGGGCUGUGUAGAGACCAUGGGCUGCAGGAGAGAAGAGGGAGAGAGGCCCGGCAACGGUUUUCGGAGACCGAAAACACCAGACGAAUAUACCGACUAUAUCGCGGUUAUAUAUUUAACGGUUGGGCAGUCAAACGAACUCCGAAUGCGACGAAAUUUGGCAGGCGGCCUGUCUACACUAUAA
rnacentral:rRNA from 1 species